GUGACUGAGUGGCGGACGGGUGAGUAACGCGUGGGUAACCUGCCUCAUACAGGGGGAUAACAGUUAGAAAUGACUGCUAAUACCGCAUAAGCGCACAGCACCGCAUGGUGCAGUGUGAAAAACUCCGGUGGUGUGAGAUGGAUCCGCGUCUGAUUAGCUAGUUGGCGGGGUAACGGCCCACCAAGGCGACGAUCAGUAGCCGGCCUGAGAGGGCGACCGGCCACAUUGGGACUGAGACACGGCCCAGACUCCUACGGGAGGCAGCAGUGGGGAAUAUUGCACAAUGGGGGAAACCCUGAUGCAGCGACGCCGCGUGAGCGAUGAAGUAUUUCGGUAUGUAAAGCUCUAUCAGCAGGGAAGAUAAUGACGGUACCUGACUAAGAAGCUCCGGCUAAAUACGUGCCAGCAGCCGCGGUAAUACGUAUGGAGCAAGCGUUAUCCGGAUUUACUGGGUGUAAAGGGAGCGUAGGCGGUCCUGCAAGUCUGAUGUGAAAGGCCGGGGCUCAACCCCGGGACUGCAUUGGAAACUGUAGGACUAGAGUGUCGGAGGGGUAAGUGGAAUUCGUAGUGUAGCGGUGAAAUGCGUAGAUAUUAGGA
rnacentral:rRNA from 1 species